GACGAACGCUGGCGGCGUGCCUAAUACAUGCAGGUUGAGCGCUGAAGGUUGGUACUUGUUCCAACUGGUUGAGCAGCGAACGGGUGAGUAACGCGUGGGGAAUCUGCCUUUGAGCGGGGGACAACAUUUGGAAACGAAUGCUAAUACCGCAUAAAAACUUUAAACACAAGUUUUAAGUUUGAAAGAUGCAAUUGCAUCACUCAAAGAUGAUCCCGCGUUGUAUUAGCUAGUUGGUGAGGUAAAGGCUCACCAAGGCGAUGAUACAUAGCCGACCUGAGAGGGUGGUCGGCCACAUUGGGACGGAGACACAGCCCGAACUGCUACGGGCGGCAGCAGUAGGGAAUCUUCGGCAAAGGACGAAAGUCUGACCGAGCAACGCCGCGUGAGUGAAGGAGGUUUUCGGAUCGUAAAACUAUGUUGGUAGAGAAGAACGUUGGUGAGAGUGGAAAGCUCAUCAAGUGACGGUAACUACACAGAAAGGGACGGCUAACUACGUG
rnacentral:rRNA from 1 species